GCCUGGGUCCUGCCCUGCUUUCCUUUCCUGCAGUAAACGUUUGAUCUGCCCUCAUCCUACAGCUGUAGCGUUACACCACGAUGAGAAGGAUAUUAUAUCAGUUUGUUCAUGUAAUGCCAGUAAGAGUUUAACCUCAAGCGCCGUAAAAGACCUAGAGAGGGAGGGAGACUGAGUGAAUUUUUAAAUUUGAAAGUACUUUCAGUCUCCUCUUGGGCUUUUAUUUUGUUAACCAUAACAGACAGGAAGUGCAAAUCACAUUUAGAGUAUAACGAAGACCAGAAGCCAGCCACCGUCAUACCACUGGUUUCUCCUGGAAGUUAGUGGGAUCAAGCACUGAGACAUCUGCGGGAAUAAAUGCGAUUGGCCUGGUCAGAGGAAUUGCACAUGAUGGGAUGAGUAUGCUAAGUAACCAGGUCAGGAUGAAAGCGCUUCUGCUCCAGCUGCCGCUUCUCCAGGAACACAACGCAGUGUCUCUUAAUUAGGCCUGGGUGGCCGUCGCGUUCAGAAGGUUUGGCUCCAGUCCGGUGCGGCCUGUCAAAGUCC